GUCCUCCGAGCAAACCUCCGGGACCAUGGGGAAACCGAGUAACUAACCCUAGUGACGAUGUCAGGAGUUAAAGGACUGUCUAAAUCCAAAGCUUCCCUUCUCAGCCGCUCGUGAUUCUGCCAACCACCCUGGUGGGGUCUGGGGAAGGCCAGGGAGGGGACAGGCAGAGACGAGUAAGAGAACUGGACAAGACUGGCUUAAGUAGACACCCCAAUAAACAAGGCUCCUUCCUGAGGGGAACACAACUGCCCUAAUGGGUCAGGGUUAUGGCGCUCAGUUUGGGAAGAGCUUGGGACCCGGCCGGGGUCACCCAGAGCACCCAGGGGUGGGGCACAUCCCGCUGCAGGACCUGAGAACAUUCCUGAAGGCAGCACUGCAGUUCUUUGAUAACUGAGCAGACUCUAAGGAGACAGGGAGAAGAGGAAACAGCCUAGGCACCAAAUGGAACACGUGUGGAGCAGACCUGAGCCCAGCAAUGAGAAGUCAAGCUUGGCAGGACCUGAAGCUUGAAGCAGAGCUGCCCAGCCAAGCCCAGCCUAGACUAGCCAAUCACCAGCUGACCCACAGAUGAAUGAACUCAGAUAAGAUCAGCAAAGCUGCCUCAGCCACCCCCAAAUUCAUGAGAA